rnacentral:rRNA from 1 species
GCUGGCGGCAGGCCUAACACAUGCAAGUCGAGCGGUAGAGAGAAGCUUGCUUCUCUUGAGAGCGGCGGACGGGUGAGUAAUGCCUAGGAAUCUGCCUGGUAGUGGGGGAUAACGUUCGGAAACGGACGCUAAUACCGCAUACGUCCUACGGGAGAAAGCAGGGGACCUUCGGGCCUUGCGCUAUCAGAUGAGCCUAGGUCGGAUUAGCUAGUUGGUGAGGUAAUGGCUCACCAAGGCGACGAUCCGUAACUGGUCUGAGAGGAUGAUCAGUCACACUGGAACUGAGACACGGUCCAGACUCCUACGGGAGGCAGCAGUGGGGAAUAUUGGACAAUGGGCGAAAGCCUGAUCCAGCCAUGCCGCGUGUGUGAAGAAGGUCUUCGGAUUGUAAAGCACUUUAAGUUGGGAGGAAGGGUUGUAGAUUAAUACUCUGCAAUUUUGACGUUACCGACAGAAUAAGCACCGGCUAACUCUGUGCCAGCAGCCGCGGUAAUACAGAGGGUGCAAGCGUUAAUCGGAAUUACUGGGCGUAAAGCGCGCGUAGGUGGUUUGUUAAGUUGGAUGUGAAAUCCCCGGGCUCAACCUGGGAACUGCAUUCAAAACUGACUGACUAGAGUAUGGUAGAGGGUGGUGGAAUUUCCUGUGUAGCGGUGAAAUGCGUAGAUAUAGGAAGGAACACCAGUGGCGAAGGCGACCACCUGGACUAAUACUGACACUGAGGUGCGAAAGCGU